UCCUGCAGUUAGACGAAAAGACCCCAGGAGCUUUACUGCAACUUGAUAUUGAGGGUACGGGUAAGAUGCGUAGCAUAGUUGGGAGACUUUGAAGUUUCGCUUUCGGGCGAGAUGGAGUCGCCAGUGAAAUACCAAUCUUCUAGCUUGUACUUUCUAACCUCGACGGAAAAAACGGCGAGAAACAGUAUCUGGCGGGCAGUUUUAGUGGGGCGCUAUCCUCGAGGACGCGAUUAAUUUCGUUUCCUCGAUCCGUGGCGCCUCCUAGGUGGUUCACACCGAAAAAAAUAAAUAAGGGGGACCAUAUUGCGCAAGCGAUAUGAGAAAAGUUAGCUAAUAUCGGUAAAAUCCUAUGUUAAAAUAGGGCUAUACCGAGGGAAGUUUGUGAGUUUUGUAGAGAAAACGAUGAAUCGUUUUCUCAAACCUGGCAACGACAGGAAGUAUGGCUCACGAGGAAACUCGUGAAGAACCCGCACCGCGGGGGAGAAGGCGAAAGUCUUAGGAACUACUGUCGUUGCCUUCUCUACAAAGCUUGCAAGCACCCGUAGAGACUACAUGCUAACCUCCGCGAAAGCGGAUGAAGAUAUAGUCCGAUCUUUAUGGAGACACAAAGAGAUAAACAGAAAUGUUUUGUCCUCGUAGUUUUUGGUUUCAUUUUGAAAAUUAAGUCAUUGAAAAUUGACUGAAAAUUCUAAAUUGAAAAUUGAAAAUUUUACGAAGUAACACAAAUGCCUAAAAUGUAACGGAGGAGUCUAUUAAGGUCGGCUAGGCGCGAAUGGAAACCGUGCCGAUAGUGUAUAGGCACAAGCCGGCUUGACUGCGAGGCGUACAUGCCAAGCAGGUGCGAAAGCAGAGCUAAGUGAACCGACGGUCCGUGUUAGAGGCGGCCGGAGAUUAUCGGAUAAAAGCUACCCUGGGGAUAACAGGCUGGUUGCGCCUAAGCGUCCAUAGCGACGGCGCAGUUCGGCACCUUAACUUAUGUUACAGACAUACAUCGGGGUGCCUAGAGGAGCAAUCCUCUACAAAAACAAAUUGGCUAUUACGGUGAACUCCAUAGAAGCCUACCAAAAAUGGUAAAAUAAUAUGGACAAUACCGUGGGAAGACUAACUCAAAUACAGCGAUCAGUCAUAAUAGGGUCUCUUCUAGGGGACGGUUAUGUUCGGAUCGUGAGAGGGAGAAGAAAUGCAUUUCUUGAAGUCAAUCAUGCUUAUUCGAUGAAAGAAUAUGUUGAUUGGAAAUAUAAAAUUCUAAAAGAUAUUGUCAUUUCUCCUCCGAAAGUACGCAAGGGGAAUGGGAACAGGAUUGCCUAUAGAUUCUUUACAAGGCAACAUCCUGAAAUCACUGAAUUAUUCAAUCUGUUUUACAAGAACGGAAAGAAAAUAAUUCCUGAUUUCAAAUUAAAUCCAGUUUCUCUUGCAGUAUGGUACAUGGAUGAUGGAAGUAAGUGUGGCACAUCAAGCUACUACUUAAAUACUCAACAAUUCAGCGUAGAAGAUCAACAUAAACUGAUGGGGUAUUUAAGAGAGUUCGGUGUCGAAUCAAAACUAAAUAAAGAUAAAGAAUACUGGAGAAUAAGGAUGAUUAUGUCCAGUGUUCCGACCUUUAUCAACUUAGUUCGACAAAGUAUCGUACCAUCAUUGCAAUACAAAAUUUGAGUUUAGAACCCGUAGAGACUACACGCCAAUCUCCCGCAAAUGCGGGAUGAAGAUAUAGUCCGAUCCUUCCGGUAACGGAAGACAAACAUGACAGCGAUGUCGGCUCAACUUAUCCUGGAGGUGAAGAAGCUUCCAAGGGUAUGGCUGUUCGCCAUUUAAAAAGUUACGCGAGCUGGGUUCAGACCGUGGAGUGUAUGAGAAAUCGUGCAUUGCACAGUCUGAAUCCCUAGGACAGAGAGGAAAUUGAGUUCAACCAAUCACGGCGGUCAUGUAUAGAAAUAUGCAUGGAUCAAUCUGAUUAAUAUCGGUAAAAUCCCGAACGAAUGUGAGGGACAAUACCGAGGGAAGUAGAAAAGGAAAUAAAACAGGCGCCCAAAGGCGCCUGAGAGGCACGAUCUCUACCGAUGGAAACACCAGUAGUAACUCGUACCGACGAUUGCGACGAGAUAGAUGAGCGAUAGAAGAAGGUUCGAGUUCAUAUAUCUCUGAGUCACGUUUACCUCCGAUUAAGUACUUUACAUACAGUAAAGUACUUGGUCAAGCUACACCCGUAGAGACUAAACAUCAGAUAUCUUCACUCGCAAGAGAAAGAUAAAGUUAUAGUCCAUUCCAUACAGUAAUGUGUGAAAAGAAGCGUGAGACAGGUUGGACUCCUAUCUACUGCAGGCGUUUGGUUCCAGAGGGGAUUUGCUCCUAGUACGAGAGGACCGGAGUGAACCGACCGCUGGUGUACCUGCUCUUCUGCCAAGAGGACCGCAGGGUAGCUAAGUCGGGAAAGGAUAAAUUCUGAAAGCAUCUAAGAAUGAAGCCAACCCCAAGAUUAGGAACUGUUAAGGGCCGUGGGAGAUGACCACGUUGAUAGGCGCCAGGUGUAAGACGAGCAAUCGUUUGAGCCGAGGCGUACUAAUUGCCC
rfam:Candidatus Nomurabacteria bacterium RIFCSPLOWO2_01_FTLL_46_18 rifcsplowo2_01_scaffold_17944, whole genome shotgun sequence.